GAAUUAAUGUUUCUAUAAUCACAAAUUCUACCUAGAUAGAUCCAUAAUUCAAUAUUUACUCUAACAAAAUGUUUAUUGCUUACAGAAGUGAACAUGCUAAACUUAAAGUUUACAUAAAACUGUAAGGUAUACACACUAAGACACAGAACGAUAUUCAAAUAUAAAAAUUUGAAGACUCAUAUCUCAGUUUCAAAAUAUACUGUGAAUUUGAGUAUUUGAAUCAGCAAUUUUCUAUAUGAGCAAUGACAUGCAGCUUUGUAACAAUUAGUCUUUCUACCAGCCACCCAAGUUCGGCCCAGUACCAUGUUAAGGUCCCAAGUAACACACAGAUACUAAUGUUAGGUACAAUGCUGUCGGUCAAUUACUAGGACUUCUUAUCUGCCCUCUCUGUGUUAAGUAUCAACCAUAAUUAUUAAUCUAUAUAUUUAUAUACUUACCUUAUUGAGGACACCAGCUGAAUGUGCCCUGUCUUCCUGGCAAUCCCAUGUCGACUGCAGAGAAAAGAGCAAGAGGAAGAGGCAGAGAGAGCAAUUUUCUGCUUGUCCCUGCUUAUAUUCUGAGUCUGCCUGCUUUGUCUAUUCCUUCCUGGAUCACAAGACUUAUCUUUAUUACAUUUCCCAGAAUCCUUCUUGACUCCUAAUCCUGCCUAACUUUCUUCCUCUUUGGCCAACAGUACUUUAUUUAACAACCAAUAAGAUAAACAUACACAGAAGGACUUGGCCCAUCACAGUUCCAUGGACUAGGACAGUGGUCAGUUGUAAUAAGACAUAUGUGAUCACUUUUAACAAACAUAGCAUGUCAAUCCAAUGAACAAACCAUCAUUUAGUAUGUUUCAUUAGAUCAAACAGUACAGCAUUCUAGAGGAGCAAUAAUGAGUAAACACAUUGUGUAGACAGAAGUUUCUGUCUGACCAAGUCCCACAGCAGUUUAGUCCUAAACAAACACACAGAGGCUUUUAUUAAUUAUGAACUGUUUAGCAUAUAGCCCAGGCUUCUUAAUGGCUAGCUCUCUCACACUUAUUAACCCAUUUCUAUCAUAUGUGUAUCUCCCCAUGAUCUUGGCAUACUGGUGAUGCUCAAGCCACUUACUUCCUCGACAGCUACAUGGCAUCUCCUCCACUCCACUUACUACAUUUCCCUAUCCAUAUUUGGAUUUCCUGCCUGGAUAAAUCCUGCCUGUCCAUUGGCCAAAACAGCCCUAUUCAUCAACCAAUAAGGAAAACUUACAUUCACAGCAUACAGAAGGACAUCCCCUAUCAUCUCCUCUUUGCUAUCUAAAUAAAAUGAAAGGUAUUCACUUUAACAUAGUACAAUUAUAUAUAACAAAACAGUUACCAAGGAUGAAGCAUAGUUAAUGAUAUUAAGUCCACUAACAUUUGGCAAAAUUUAAAGAAAAUAAUCAAUCCUAUAUUUGUAUAUCUAAAGUUUUAUAUGUAACUUAUCUUUUAUCAUAACUAAGGAAAAACAUAACCAUAAAUAUUGGUAUUGAACUACAUCAAAGACCCUAGAAGGAUAAUACAUAAACUCUAAAAUUGACACAGACAUCUCAUUGCCUGGAGCGUCACACAACGUUCCUCUUUAAUGAAUGUUGUGACAUUCCCUAUUCAGUCUAUAGGCCCAGAAAGUCUGGCACACUUUUUGAGGAAGCACAAACCUUGAAGGACCAUCCUUUCCCUUGGCAAGUUCAGCAGUCACUUUCUUUGUAACCUGCUUAUCCAGUCUGGACAGCAUGCUGUUAAACAGUCCACAGAAGAACAGUUUCUUAUCCAAAUGUCUAUCCCUGCCACAUUGAAGGCAAACUUCAUAACAAAUUUAUUUGAUACCCACCAUCAUCUCUGAUGUAAUUGGUAUUUCCCAGGAGCACUUCUGUCUCAUUGUCUUUAAAAACCCUAAUAAGCUAUUUUAAAUGCCACAUUCUGAUGGUGUUUGAAAGGUUGUGAGGAAUACCUAUCUAUUUGAAAUAUAUAUCUGUAUACCAACAAAACAUAGCUAACAUAAGUUUUGGUUAUUAUAGGUGACAAUGUAUAAUAUGCAUUUAAUUACACAUUACAUUUCAAAUGAGCUGUAUAAACACAAUAGCUAAACAAGAGUAGAAAUAUACAUUUAUCAAAAUUGACCUUAAAUUUGUGUCUUUUAUUAAGGCUGGGCAAUGCAAUCCACUAGGAGGAAAGAGUCUCAAUAGCUGGCAAUAGUGUCAGAGAUAACCCUGUUCCCUCUUGUCAUGAGUGCCACAAGGAGGCCAAGCCCCAAAAGUGUAAACCAUGAACAGAGGGACCAUGUCCCUCUCAUUGGCAGUACUUUCUGUGCUCUUUGAUACUAACCAGAAUCUGAAUAUGAUUUAUUUGGAAAUUUGGGCUCCUUAGUUGUUUCCAAAACUCGUCUCUUAUUUUUCCCCCACUCUACUUCCUGUGAGACUAGUUUCGUACCCCAUUGGUAUCUCACAUGCAUUGAUUCUUCCCUCUGAUUUUUUUCUCUACUGUUCAGCCCAUUAUUCCUCAAAUCACAGCAAAAUAUCUUCCCACAAGGCUUAACUAUGUCUUUCAUGGCAAAAACAAAAAAUGUCCCUUUUUAAAGAAUACAACUCAGUAGCUGACACACAAAAUGGUGUGUGCCACAUAACCAUGUACAAUAUGUCCUUUUAACAUAGAAUUAAGACACAUAGUUAUAAAAAACCCAUUUUUCUUUAUUGCCAAGAAGACGAGUGUGCUUUGGAUAACUUAUUAUUUGAAAAUGAUAUGUUUUUUUAUUUUUUUAAUAGUAGAGAUACUGAAAGGUAUUUGUUAGUCUGUUUGAAUCUAAUAUUUAUGAAAUGAUUUUAUCCAAAUUUUUCUUCUCCCAUAGGAACAAAAAGAAAACUUCUUCCUCAAAAUAGCAUAUAUUCUGGCAUCCAUUUUCUGGUAUUUAAUAUUUCCUGCAUGGAGGAGACAAGCUUGCAGGAUUAACAUUCCCAGUUUAUCCAGUAUGAAUCUGGCCCCAGCUACGUUCCCAGCACCAAGAUGGCUGCCUCCAGACCAUUGGGAAUUCUAACUCAAGAAGAUCUGAGGUCCAUUUCUGGUUUCUGUAGAUGUUUUCACAAAGAAUCAAAAAUGUUGAUUCGCAAAACAUAAAAAGAACAAUUAAAUUAUUGGGGAUGCAUACAUUCAUGACAUGGCACAUGUGAAGUUUUGAGAACAAUAUGCAGAAUUUCUUGGUUCCUUCUUUUAGCGUGAAAGUUCUUGGAACCAAGAUCAAGGCCUUAGGCUUAGGGGCAACUACAUGGUCAGCUGAGUCAUCUUGCUGGUCCCUAGUUUUAUACUUUGGGUGGAUUUUUUAAAUGUAUUUUAAUUUUCAUUGUAAUAAACCAUCAAUCUGCUAUGAAAAUUGAUUUUUACUUCUUAAUGAAAUUAUUUAUAACAAUAUACUGUCUUAGUAGGUGUUCCAUUGCUGUGAAGAGACACCAAGGCCAAGGCAAUCUUAAUAAAAAGAAAAACUUUAAUUGAGGCUUGCUUACAAUUUCAGAUGGUUAGUCCAUUAUCAGCAAGGCAGGGAACAUUUAGGCAGAUAAGGUGCAAGGGAGGUAGCUAAGAGUUCUACAUCAGGAUCUGCUGGCAGGAGGAAGGGAGAGAGAAUGGCCCUGGUUUGAGCACUGGAAAACUCAAAGCCAACUCUAGUGACAAACUGCCUCUAACAAGGCCUUACUAUCGAAUCCCUCCCAAGUAGUGCCACUUCCUGAAAUUUCUAACAUAUGAGCCUGUGGUAGCUAGCCUUAUUCAAACCACUACUCACCAAUAUAUUAAACUUAGAGAAAAAGUCUUAUUUUAAUAUUGUAUGUGUUACUAUUCUCUGUAUAACUAUCAAACUACUGGAACUUCUUUGGAUUUCCAUUGUUUGAUAACUUUUUUAUUGGAACUUUUCAUACAAUAAAUUUCAAUCAAAAUUUACCCUUCCCCAUAUCCUCCCAGACCCUUUGCAUCACCACACCUACCAAACUUCUAUCUUUCUUUCUCUCCUUGUUUAGAAAACAAACACAAAGGUUCAUGUUCCUUCACUUAUAAAAAUAAAAAAACUUCAGAGUAGAAAUCUUUCUUACAUAUUAACAUCAAUUAAUAUUUUGUAAAAUUUAUGAACCCAAGCCUAUCCAAAUCAUAAAAUUUAUGAGAGAAAUUACAAAACUAUUGACUAGCUUAACUAUUCCUUUCCAGAUACAUAGCUUAUGAAACAAGGUACAUGUCUCACUCUCAUGGAAACUGCCUUAGCCACAUUUUUAAAUUAAAUUUAUUUUUUAUUUAUAUGUGUGAAAUGUAUUUACACAAAGCCACCCUCUGCUACUCUUUUCAAUAUUCUCCAGUGUCCCCCUCAUGGUUUCUAAAAUUCAUAGCCUUAUUUUCUUUAAUUAACUUUUUACCCACACUCACACGCACAUGCACAGACACAGGUUGAGGAAUGAUCAUUUGUUAUUGAACAAUCAAUUAGGGCAUUCAUCCCUGGGUAAAACAACUCACUCUCAGCAACCUUUAUAUUACUGCAGUCAUCAUUUAGACUUGGAGCCCUGUGAGAGGUCUCUUGUCCAUUUUUAUUCAAUACUUUGGAGGUAUUAUCAUGUCCGGGUCCAUGAAAGUUAUAGCAGUAACAGGUGACAACUAGUGUUCAAGUGUCAACCCACCAGAGAAAUGAUUAUCUAAUGGUGGUUAAUCUUGUCCACACGAUGUCUGUAGGAUCAUUGACUCCGGAAACUGUUUCUCACUUUUGCUAAAACUCAUUAGUUCCUCACCAAUACCUGCAGUGUAGUAUGUAAUCUCAUGUGAAGUGUAUUUGUAAUCUCAUGAUUGCAUCUCAAACUUAUGGGCACAUAUAUGUGUGGAUGAUCACGAAGAUGAUUUUUCAUUCUCCUAUAUAGUUUUAAUGUAUAGCAUAUAUACUGGGGCAUGCUUCAUAAAUGGAUUUGUUUGUUCCAUGAAGACUGUAUACACUUAAAAGCCUGCUUUAUUUCUUUUUAUUCAGACUCAUAUCAGAAAAUAGCAAUUAUUACUCAGUCAAACACAAACUGUACACAAUUAGCUCACUUUUACCUCAGAGCAAGUUCAAACUUGAAUAAAGGCUUUGUGUAAAUUGAUCUUAAGUUUGAAACCUUAUAGCUAUGUACAAGUUCAGAGCCAUAGAUAUCCACUCAAGGUGACUAAGGAAAACCAUGCCAAUUCUUUGCUUUCCUGUGUGUUAGCAAAAGACCUAUGUAUCAAAGCUUAUCUCCUUCUCCCCCCUGCCCUUGAGUCAUGAUCUCAUUUCUGUAACCUUGAACCCUUGUGUUGUCAUGACAAUGUGUCAACUACCUAUCACUGAUCCUAGGAAUUUGCUCUUGACCAAUGAGAAACAAGUCUUGUAUUUUCUUUAGCACUUCAAGGAUCCUGAGGGGGGAAAGAGAUUUAGAAUAUAAAAAA